GUCAAUUCAAUUAUUUAAACGAAAAACUUCAUAACAAGGGUUCAUUCCAUUUUAGCAAUAUAAAAAUCUACCUAGAAAUAUUGCCGAAAUUAAACAAAGAAAUGAUGAAGGACAUCACCCGGAAUAAUUCCUCCCCUUUUUAAUUUCAAUUGCCAGUUCCUUCCUCUGCCAUUUUCUUGUAUAUAUUUUUAUGUAAUUUCGGCAGAAGCAGCCAUUUAUAAAUUCCUCUAGCAGCCGCAAUGUUUGACUCGAAAGUGACUCCAAUUCUUUCUCCAUUUCUGUGUGUGUAUAUAUAUGUCUGUGUGUAUAUAUAUAGCCUCAAAUCUUGACUCCUCCAAGCUGGUUAGCAGCUGCCCAAUCUUGUUCUCCGUAAAUUCUCAAACGGUAGCCCUUUUUUUUAUUCCAAAAUAAGAAGUGUUGGCUGCCCUUUUUUAUUCUUCAACUGCCUUUGAUUUUUUUCCCAGAAGCUGCCAUUUUCUUCCAAAAAUCAGCUUCCUUUUCUGUGGUUUUUUUCUCCCA
rnacentral:lncRNA from 1 species